rnacentral:rRNA from 1 species
AUACAGAGGGUGCGAGCGUUAAUCGGAAUUACUGGGCGUAAAGCGCGCGUAGGCGGUCUAUUAAGUCAGAUGUGAAAUCCCAGGGCUCAACCUUGGAACUGCAUCUGAUACUGGUAGACUAGAGUUUUGGAGAGGGAAGUAGAAUUUCAGGUGUAGCGGUGAAAUGCUUAGAGAUCUGAAGGAAUACCAGUGGCGAAGGCGACUUCCUGGCCAAAAACUGACGCUGAGGUGCGAAAGCGUGGGUAGCAAACGGGAUUAGAAACCCUAGUAGUCC